AAUUAAGUAGCUAAGCGGUCUAUAGCGGAGGAUUUAAGAAUUUUCUUAAUCUCCUUUUCUUAAAAGAGAGUAUAGGUUUGAACCCUACCUUCGUUA
rnacentral:tRNA from 1 species